rnacentral:rRNA from 1 species
CUACGGGAGGCAGCAGUGGGGAAUAUUGCACAAUGGAGGAAACUCUGAUGCAGCAACGCCGCGUGGAGGAUGACGCAUUUCGGUGUGUAAACUCCUUUUAUAUGUCAAGAAAAUGACGGUAGCAUAUGAAUAAGCACCGGCUAACUCCGUGCCAGCAGCCGCGGUAAUACGGAGGGUGCAAGCGUUACUCGGAAUCACUGGGCGUAAAGGACGCGUAGGCGGGUUGGAAAGUCAGGUGUGAAAUCCUACAGCUUAACUGUAGAACUGCACUUGAAACUUCUAAUCUAGAGUAUGGGAGGGGGAGAUGGAAUUAGUGGUGUAGGGGUAAAAUCCGUAGAUAUCACUAGGAAUACCUAAAGCGAAGGCGAUCUCCUGGAACAUUACUGACGCUAAGGCGUGAAAGCGUGGGGAGCAAACAGGAUUAGAUACCCUAGUAGUC